CUCGGUUCCCAGGCUCUGCGCGGACCCUCGGCAGAGUUUGCAGCGAGGCUGGAAGUGGGGCAAAGCGUGAACCACCACCAACUGACGCCGUCCUGCCCUCUCAGCGAGCCUGCACUUUCGGGCUGAUGUGCGUGAGUCAGAGGCGAGGAGAAGCAGAAAUCGGGUUGGAUUGGUGUGGUCAGAGAAGACAACCAGACAGAGGAACGUGUCGGACUUCGUCUUCAGGCUUCACCCCAGCCUCCAACCCCAGGGCUUUCUCGUGAGGAGAGAGAGCAUGGGCGUGCCGGAGGUGCCUGAGGCUGCAAAGAAGUAAAAAACCACCAUCCAUUAUAAGGAAAGUGCAGCCGUUUCUGGGGAAGUGCCAAAGGCCUGAAAUCGGACAGCGAAAAUACGGAUGAGGAAGAGGGAAGAUCCCAAGAAAUGUUUCUGGGAAAAUAGACUAUAAUUUCCUUUAAUGACUGACAUUUGUUAGGUACAGUGCUAAAUAUAAAAUAAAGUAUAAAUAUAAAGAAUAAAAUAUAAAAUAUAACAUAAAAUACACGAAGAGGAAAAGUGUCAAAGACCAAAUAAAUGUCUAGCUUGGUCCAUCAAUUGGACUGAAAAGUCCUGUUUGUCUAAUCGGUUUGUAAUUGGUUCUGGGUAAGAAUCACACUACCACAUGGAACAUGAGAAAUUAUCUGGGUACACAUUCACAGUGUAAAGAUGAAGACCUCGAGGCCCAGAAAGCUAUAAAUGUGUCAAGUCGUGCAGUUACAUUAGCAGCAGAACUGAUACCACGAUCCCAGACUCCCCGUCCAGUGCUCUUCGCCCUUUACUGUGAGGUGGCUCGUUAGUUUUGAAAGGGAGGUUUAAAGGAUCACAGUUAUGGUUAGAUUUAGAACCCAGAGAAACAAUAGAACCUAAUUUCCGAGGACAAGAUCUCUGAUUUUCAUUCUUGUAUUCAGUGAGGAUUUAAUGUGCUCUCAUCUACAAUGAAAAAAAAAAUUGCCGUCACUCAGGCCAAGAGUUUCAGGGCAAUGGCCAGACCCUGACGCAGAGCACACAGAGUUCUUCAUGAUUAAGUUCAGAAGCAGAGAGAUUAGCAGCAAGAAAUGACUCUAGUGGUUCAUGUCCAAGGCCAGGCGUGCACUUUGGGAGCAGGGCCUUUGCAAAGGUGCUCGAUGCUAUUAAAUGUGGUGCGUGCCUUUUCAGUGGACAUUCUAAAUUUAAAAAAAAAAAAACCCAAACAGGAAGAAUUUCUUGAACUUAAAUUUUAGGAGAAGUUAGCUGAAAGGGCUUUGAUUCACCGGAAUGGAAAGCCUUCACACAUUAUUUUUCAUGUAAAGGUGGAAAGAGAGCAAGCAUGCCAAAAACAACAACAACAACAACAACAACAACAAAUCCUGAUGUGCAGUAAAUACUUAGAGAACAGAAUACUUAAAAACUCACUGUAUGCAAAAAUACUUUUAAAACGUUAACUAGUUUUUAAAAAUAUAAUCUAUUUGCACAAUACUGGCCAAUAAAGUAUAUAUAUAAAACACAUUGAAAAACUAAUGUUAACAUUUGGUUAUUAUGAAAUAUGUUACUUUUCUAGCGUUACUCUUUGGACUUCAUCAGGUACAAAGGGGCUUAAAAAUUAACCCAGUAAAUGUAUAAAACUUGAACUUUUUAUUGCUAGAAUGGUAUUAAUUGAAUUCUUUCAAACACUUUACAUUGUAAAACAUUUGUACAGGAAAAUACAGAGAAUGCUACAAUAAACAGUUGUGUUUAACACA